rnacentral:rRNA from 1 species
UACGAAGGGGGCUAGCGUUGCUCGGAAUGACUGGGCGUAAAGGGCGCGUAGGCGGCGAUCAAGGUCAGAUGUGAAAUUCCUGGGCUUAACCUGGGGGCUGCAUUUGAUACGUGGUGGCUUGAGUGCGGAAGAGGGGGGUGGAACUGCGAGUGUAGAGGUGAAAUUCGUAGAUAUUCGCAAGAACACCAGUGGCGAAGGCGGCUCACUGGCCCGGUACUGACGCUGAGGUGCGAAAGCGUGGGAGCAAACAGG